rnacentral:tRNA from 1 species
AAAAAUGAAAUCAUUUAGAUGUUUCACUUACAAUGAAAAUUUGUUUUUUUUUAACCAUUUUUA